rnacentral:rRNA from 1 species
AUGGCGUCUGCUUCGAUCACGUUCGUGCUGAACCGGCUGGGGGAGCUGGCGGUGAAGGAGGCGGCGCUGCUGAGCGGCGUGGGCGACGACAUCCGGCUGCUCCGGGACAAGCUCGAGUGGCUGCAGACCUUCAUCCAGGACGCCGACCAGGAGCGGCGCGAGGGCGCCAACCAGUACGUGGGUCUCUGGGUCCGCCAGACCCGCGAUGUGGCGCACGAGGUGGAGGACGUCCUCGACGAGUUCCUCCGCCGCCUCGACCACGACACGCUGCGGCAGGGGGUCCCCGCCUGGAGGAGGUGGCUCAGACUCGCCGCCUCCUGCACCACCCAGGUCUCCGUCCGCCAUGACCUCCGGGAGCGGAUGGACGGCAUCAAGAACAGGCUCAAGGAGAUCUCUGACAACGUCGACAAGUACAAGAUCAGGACGUUCCGCCCCUCCGCCCCCGGCGCUUCUUCGUCGGCCCACAAUUCUACCAUCAACACCGUCCCCGCAUGGGAUGAGGGGAGCGAAGUGGUUGGCUUUAAAGAUGAACGUGCAGAGCUGCAACGUUAUCUUCUCGCUGGUGAUGAUACUAGCAGAUCUGUCAUGUCACUAGUUGGGGAGAGUGGCACUGGCAAAUCCACACUUGCAUGGGAAGUGUAUGACAGUCCUAUUAUCCGGAAGCAUUUUGAUGUCCGAGCCUGGAUCAAUGUCCCACCACAAAUAAGAGAUGAUGACAUCUUGUACUUCAUCUACAAGCGUUUGUGUCCCGAGAGUGAGGCCUGUGAACAAAAAAAUUCGAUCACAGAAAAAGUUCAUAAAGCCCUCUCGCUGUACCUGAAGAAUAAACGCUACCUGGUGAUGCUUGAUGGCCUGGUCAAUUUCAGCAACUGGCACUCCAUACUCCAUAGCCUACCACAGAAUGAGAAAGGCAGUAGAGUGAUGGUCAUCACUCGCCUGGAGGACAAAGAAGCUGCAUAUGCUAACCCAAAAGUUAGCACCCUCAAGAUAGGCAAGCUCGACAAAAAAGAUAGCUCAUCGCUAUUUCGUCGCAGAGUCUUUGGGGCCAACAACCAAUUUAAAGAGAAGAUCCUUGGCAGCAAAAUCUCAGAACCCAAUGUAAAUAUGGAGAAGGCAUGCGAGAACAUGUUCAAGAUAACCCACGGACUACCCUUGGCCAUUGUGGUGCUGGCUGGGCUUCUUCGGACAAAGAGCAUAUCAGAGUGGGAAGAGGUGUUGAAGAAGCUCGAGUCGGAUAAUGAGCCAAAGCAAGUGAAAAGGAUCUUGGCUUUGAGCUUUGAUGAUCUCCCAAGUCGGCUCAAGUCUUGCUUCCUAUAUUUUGCAGGAGUGCCAGAGAACCUGAUCUACAAUGCGAGACGCCUCGUGCGGCUAUGGGCCGCCGAGGGGUUUCUGAAGCCAAAGAAGGGGAAAACCAUGGAGGACAUUGGUCAGAACUACCUGAAGGAGCUGAUCUCAAGGGAGAUGAUCCGCCUGGUGAAGAGGGACAUGAAUGGAGGUGUUUGGCUUGUUGCUAUCCAUGACCGUCUCCAUGCUUUUGCACAGGCAGAAGCACAUGAGGCGAGUUUCCUUGAGGCACAUGACAAUGCUGAUCUCCUUGCACCCGGUGCAGUUCGCCGUCUGCACCUCCAGAACUACACAGAGACAUAUAUACCAAUGGGCACCGCAUUCCCUAAGAUGCGGUCCAUCUUGGGUGAUUUUGCUGAGGAAAGAUCACAGAAUGGGAAACGAUCGCUUAGCUCCAAAGUAAGAGCGCAUGGCCAAUUGAAGAAGCAAGGUAACAAUAGUGAUUUACGCUACCAUGCUCUCCGUUUUCUGCCGGCAUCCAAGUUCCUCCGUGUAAUUGAUCUCCGGGGGUUAAGGAUAAAAAAGGUGCCUGGUGCAAUUGGGGAUAUGAUCCAUGUAAGGUACCUAGGGCUCCGGAGUCGCUCCCUUACCAAACUCCCUUCCUCCAUUGCUCGUCUCAUCAACCUUCAGACACUUGACAUAAAGAGAACUGAGGUGAAGAAGGUGACACGAGCAUUCUGGGAGAUUCCGACGCUGCGGCAUGUUGUGGCCAACAUGCUAGGACUGCCAAAGUCAGCUGGGGUGCUCAACAACAUGCAAACACUCACAGGCUUGCUUUGCUCUGAUCGUUUAGGCAACGACAUCAAGCCUUUACAAAACAUGGUUUAUCUUCGCAACUUGCAGAUUUCAGGUCUGGAUAACCGGCACUGGGAAGCACUUAGAGAAGUGUUCAAGAAGCUUGAGUCACUCAUGUACCUGCAGCUUGCUGGGAAAGAUAUUCCACUCGAACUCUUCACGAAAUUCACACUGCGCCGCCUGCAGAUCCUAGAGCUGCUCGGGAAAAUCGACAAAUCAAGUGUUAAUGAGGAGGACCAGUACACACUACCCAAUGUCACUAGGCUAGUGCUCAAGCUAUCAUUGGCAGAUCAGAAGUUCAUUGACAAGAUAGGUGAGCUGCCAAGCCUCAUGGAGCUAGUAUUGUCCGAAGAUUCCUACUGUGAAGAAAAUCUCUUGUUUUCUGAUAAAGGAUUCAACAAUGUCACAAGCUUGGUGAUGGCCAACCUAACAAUGGUGAAAAAGUGGACAAUACGACCCAUGUCCAUUCCGAAGGUUCAAAAGAUCGUUCUAUCUGGUUGCCCCAACAUGGAGAUCAAGCUUGAAGGGAAAGAAGGGGAAGAAAGCCUAGAAGGUUUGAUGGCAGAUCUCAAGGAAGUAGUGGUCUGCAACAUGCUGCAAGAGGGCUCCAUCAUCGUCAAGCCUGCAAAUUCUGCCUUUGAGGAGAAGAUCAACCAUGUGGCCAUCAAAACGAAGAGUGAAGACAUAACAGGUGCAACGCAACGAGAUGGAAGGUGGAGGGCAGGUAUGAUAGCUGGCAACAUGUACCAGAACUAG